UACGAAGGGGGCUAGCGUUGCUCGGAAUCACUGGGCGUAAAGGGUGCGUAGGCGGUCUUUUACGUCAGGGGGGAAAUCCUGGAGCUCAACUCCAGAACUGCCUUUGAUACUGAGGAUCUUGAGUUCGGGAGAGGUGAGUGGAACUGCGAGUGUAGAGGUGAAAUUCGUAGAUAUUCGCAAGAACACCAGUGGCGAAGGCGGCUCACUGGCCCGAUACUGACGCUGAGGCACGAAAGCGUGGGGAGCAAACAGG
rnacentral:rRNA from 1 species